rnacentral:rRNA from 1 species
UCCGUAGGUGAACCUGCGGAGGGAUCAUUACAGAGUUCAUGCCCUUCGGGGUAGAUCUCCCACCCUAUGUAUUUUAUACCUUUGUUGCUUUGGCAGGCCGUUGGGCUCCGGCUUAGCUACUGGCUUUCGCUAGUAAGUGCCUGCCAGAGGACCCCCAAACUCUGAAUGUUAGUGUCGUCUGAGUACUACAUAAUAGUUAAAACUUUCAACAACGGAUCUCUUGGUUCUGGCAUCGAUGAAGAACGCAGCGAAAUGCGAUAAGUAAUGUGAAUUGCAGAAUUCAGUGAAUCAUCGAAUCUUUGAACGCACAUUGCGCCCCUUGGUAUUCCGAGGGGCAUGCCUGUUCGAGCGUCAUUACAACCCUCAAGCUCUGCUUGGUAUUGGGCGUCACCAGAAACGGUGUGCUUUAAAAUCAGUGGCGGUGCCUCUUGGCUCUAAGCGUAGUAAUUUUCUCGCUACAGUUGCCUGGUGGAUGCUUGCCAGCAACCCCUAAUUUUUACAGGUUGACCUCGGAUCAGGUAGGGAUACCCGCUGAACUUAAGCAUAUC